GGGUCAUCCCAGAGCAGCUUCACAGAAACUGAUGACAGCAGCUGCUCCAGCAGUCGGGGGCCUGACCGCCGGCAAAACCGCACCCGCCGGCAACAUUGGGCCCAAAAUCCACGCCUUCGGUCCAGAAGUCCCCAGGACAGGAGCCACGUACCAGCACCAAGUCCUGCGAGGCGCAGGACCAGGCUGAGACCAUCAGGGACAUCCUGCAGGCGAAACUGCUCCCGCCUGCAACGUCAGACUCCAAAUCCAUCUGGCCGGUCCAGAAGCCGCCGUGACAGGAGCCACGUGAGAGCACCGAGUGCUGGGAGGAGCAGCCGCAGCCAUCAAGCAUCGAGAACAUCCAACACACAAAGUCGCUCCCGCCAACGGCAACAGUUCCCAAAUCCAUCUGGCCGGUCCAGAAGUCGCCGUGACAGAAACUAUGUGAGAGCACCAAGUGCUGGGAGCCGCACCCCCAGCCAGGAAGCAUCAGGAACAUCCCGCAGGCGAAACCGCUCUCGCCUCCAACGUCAGACACCAAAUCCAUCUGGCCGGUCCAGAAGUCCCCUUGGCAGGAACUGCACGCCAGCACGGAGUGCUAGUAGGCGAAACUCAAGGGAGACAGCAACCACGACUUCCCAAAGGCAACAGCGCUCCCGCCAGCAGCGUCGGACCUCAAAUUCAUCCAGCGGAUCCAGAAGUCGCCGUGAUGGGAGGCGUGAUAGAGCACCCAGUGCUGGGAGUCCCACUCACCGCUCAGACGGUGAGACAGGGACUCACCACUGACACAUCCCACGUCAGAAAGGAAGGAGGAGGCCCCCCAAGGGAGGGAGCCAGCAUGCCUGCUGUGUCAACAAUCAGAAGCUGACCUGGACAUCUGUGGGGAACAACUCCAGAUAAAUGGGUUCUGUGCCCACGAGUUCUGCCUGGUGAGUUGCUUCAUGGGCUCCCACCAUGUUUUGACAGGCAGUCCCUGCCACUCUCUGCUCAUCAGUGUGUGUCAUUUUUUCUACAGUUUUUUACCAGCCACCUUCCUCAGCACAAUGAUGAUCCAGUAGGACUCUUUGGCUUUCUCCCAAGGGAUAUCCAAGAUGUAGUCUCCCGGGAAGCACAGAAGACCACCAUGAGGGGAGGGCUUGAAUGCAUUCACUGAGCCAGGAGAGAGACAGAGGCACUGUGAUGCCAGUGAGUGCCUUUGUCCAGGAGGCAGGCAGGAGGCAGAGGAGGAGGGGCCCUGGGAACUGCUCCUGUGCUCCUCCUGUGCUGCUGAGAGCACCCCCAGACACUGCUCUGGCCUGAGGGACAGCACAACCAGCUGGGACUCUGAUGGCUGUGCUGGUCUGGGCACAGCCUCCAGUUAAGACUCAGAGCUGUUGCUCUCAUGAAGAACUCUUCUGACAACUCGACAGAAUGCAAGACCAUCACCCCAGGACGAGCAAACUCCAUAUCAACCUACAGGCAACAUCGGAGGAGACUCUGGAAUCCCCCUCACAAAAGAUGAGCAUCUCCAGCCCUGACAGUCAGAUCCUGAAGUCACCGUGAGAGGAGCCGUGUCAGAGCACCCAGUGCUGGGAGCUCCACUCACCGGUGGGACAGUGAGACAGGGACCCACCGCUGACACGUCCCAUGUCAGACAGGGAGGAGGAGCCCCUCGAAGGGAGGGAGCCAGGUGAGAGCAAAGUGCCCCUCCCACAGCCUGGCAGAGGGGCUGUCGGGGCGGGC